GGCGCAGCACAGGUACGUGGGCGGGCGGAUCGUGGUGGCUGCGCUUGCGAGGACCCUGAGGUAGAUUGGGUGGUUUCAACAGGAACGCAUCCACUGUCUGAGAGUUUAAACUUGAUUUUGUGAGGGGACGAACAGCGUGACAAUUAAAAGAAGAUCUGGGAAUCAAAAGCUUCCUGAGGCCUUCACCAGAAGCAGAUGCUGGUGCCGUGCUUCUACAGCCUGCAGAACUAAGAGAAGACAUGGAGAAGAGGAGGGAGUAGUUGUGACCGUGGAGGCAGAGAAUGGAGUAAUGUGAUCAUAAAUCAAGGAAUGCUGACAGCCACUAAAGCUGGAGAAGGCCAAGGACAGAUAUUCAAUCCUCCCGUAGAAGUACAGCCCUGCUAAUGCAUUGAUUUUGGACUUCUGGCCUCAGAACUAUUUAUAUAUCAGCUUUUUAUCAGUUGAAAUAAACCACCCUGGGCCGGGUGCAGUGGCUCACACCUGUAAUCCCAGCACUUUGGGAGGCCGAGGUCUGGAAAGCAUGGAAAUUUGUAUCUUCAUUCACUUUUGUUUUCAUGGACUCUUUUCAUGUUUGAACUUUUCAUGAUCCAAUGUGAUAAUUUAUGUGAAAUCUUUCUGCAAACUAUACAGUAUGAUAAAAAUAUAAGGUAGUUUCACUGGAAACAACAGAAGACUAGAAGCUGAUGUGACGUGGCAAUAUCAACCAGGAAUACCCAUCUCGAGUUCUGGAUAUGUGCUCUGAGAAGGUGCCCAUGUCACCGACCACACUGGAGGCCAAUGCAGAUACUGGGGGAAGGUUCCAUGGUAGCUAAGUGUGGACAAGCUAAUCACUGAAGUUCCCUGAUGCAGAGUUGAUAAUCUCUCUAGAGUUGGAUGAAAGACUGUGCUGCCUUGAAGCUCUGAGAGAUGCCAUGCCAAUUCAAGGCAGGGUCUUUAUUGUUGAAACUCUUGCGUAAUGACAUCUUUAUUCAGGUGAAAAUACAGGAUGAAUUUCAACUAUAUGAUAUUGUUUAUGUUCCUCAGACAUGUUAUUUGUCUUUACAAAGAUUGGUUUCAAUAAACUGUGUGACUGAUAUUAAAUAAACAUGGAAUUUUACACAUUCAUAAUAAAAAAAAAA
rnacentral:lncRNA from 1 species